UAGUAACGGCGAGUGAACCGGGAAGAGCUCAAAUUUGAAAUCUGGCGUCCUCCGGGCGUCCGAGUUGUAAUCUAUAGAAGCGUUUUCCGCGCCGGACCGUGUAUAAGUCUCCUGGAACGGAGUAUCAAAGAGGGUGACAAUCCCGUGCUUUACACGAUGACCGGUGCUAUGUGAUACGUUCUCUACGAGUCGAGUUGUUUGGGAAUGCAGCUCAAAACGGGUGGUAAACUCCAUCUAAAGCUAAAUAUUGGUGGGAGACCGAUAGCGAACAAGUACCGUGAGGGAAAGAUGAAAAGCACUUUGGAAAGAGAGUUAAACAGUAUGUGAAAUUGUUGAAAGGGAAACGAUUGAAGUCAGUCGUGUCCAUUGGGUUCAGCCGGUCCUGCCGGUCUACUCCCUUUGGACGGGUCAACAUCAGUUCUGACCGGCGGAUAAUGGCACGAGGAACGUGGCACCCUCCGGGGUGUGUUAUAGCCUCGCGUCGCAUACGCUGGUCGGGACUGAGGAACGCAGCUCGCCUUCAUGGCCGGGGUACGCCCACGUACGAGCUUAGGAUGUUGACAUAAUGGCUUUAAACGACCCGUCUUGA
rnacentral:rRNA from 1 species